rnacentral:tRNA from 1 species
AGCCCGUAAGCUUUAAGAAGCAUGUAUUUUGAAAGUAUAAGAUAAGGAUAAGAGCCUUACGGGCUU